UUGUGUUUGUAGCUGAGUGUACAAUAGAUGAAGCAGUCCUAUUUAUUUAGGUAAGUAUGUAAAAACGUUGCUUUCAUUUAUUACAUCUAUGAUGAUUUUUAGCAGAAGUUUUGUGUUUCAACUCAAUGAACCUUUCUACUUCAGGCAGCGGUUGUGUAUUUUGUCCUGCAUCCUAGUUUUGUAUGAAGACUGAGUGCUUUAAAAGUGAAACCAGUCACCUGGGGAAACAUGGACCUUGGAGUUUAGAGCUCCAUAGUUUGAGCACCGCUUUCUAUUGGUUCCUUAAUAGGAAUUUUUUUUAAUGGAGUGAGUUUUUUUUAAUGGGUGAUCACUUUGAUAGCUUUGCUCUUUGUAAAGGCAUAAACAGCACUGUGAUGACUGGUGAGAUUCUCUUCUGAAUGUUUCUCUUGCAUUUUUCCUCCAUUUGUCGUCUGUGCUUUGUUUGUUCUCUCGUGUGAUCUGUGUGUUCAGACGUUAUUUAGAAGAAAAGUGUAUCACAACUGACAGUGAGCACCUUCACCAUGACCCCUGUCCUCUCUAACACUGCAGCAAGACCAUCAGCAAUAACACUGGAGCUGCUGAAGGAUUGGAGUUGUUUCUUUGUGUGAUGCUGAGAUACUGAGGCAAUGUGACCUAAUUAACAGGAUAACUAUUUUUAAUAAAAUCCACACACAGACACUUUAGCAUGAUUAUAUCAAUGAAGCAGUUUGUCAAAAUCAGUUUAUAGUGUUUUACAUAAGAAUCCUUAAGAAGGACUCUUUGUCUGAAGGAUGUACCAAGUAUCAAAGCUAAGGUAUCAAGUUAAAAUGCUGACAGGUUCUAGGUGUUACGAUGUGUGCAGGUGUCAUCUAAUUUGUUUGUGGUUGUUUUACCUGUGUGUUUUUUAGAGUGCUGUGUUUGUUUUACAUUUGCAAGGUUUUUUACCUACAUGACUUCAAAGAUGAUGUAGGACCUAAAAGACUUUUGUGAAGAAGUAUAGAUUUACACUUGGACUGAAGUUCAGGAAUACUGCAGAAAAAAAACCCCAAAAUGUAUAAAUGUAUAAAGAAUUCUGAAUAACAACAUCUAUGGAUUUUCAGAGGCUGCAGAAAACAAAUGACAUUAAACCUCCAGCCUAACAUUGUGUAGAUCCACCUUGUGUCAUCAAAUCAGCUCUGACCCACCAAGGCAUGGACUCCAUAAGACCUCUAAAGGUGUGCUGUGGUAUCUGGCACCAAGACAUUAACAGCAGGUCCUUCAAGAUGUGAGGUGCUGCAUCCAUGGAUCUGACAUCCCACAGAUGCAAGAUCGGACUGAGAUCCUCUCUGAGAAGAUCUCAGGACAUUGGAGUCAACACCUUAAACUCUUUAUAUGUUCCUCAAACCAUUCCUAAACAUUUUAUUCCAUGUGGCAGGACUCAUUGUUUGGGUUCCAGGUCACCACCUCCAUGAAUUCUGAGCUCAUCACUGCUUUAUGGUAUGACCAUCAUCAGUUACUAAGGGAGGGCGUCCUGUAAUGAUCAGGCCUAGGCUGGAUUUCUGUCUCUGGUUUCAUGGAAAGGUAGAAGUACAUGCUGGAGUCAUGGCUGCUUUAAGAAUCCCGUUUCAAAAGUGACUUCUGAAAUUGUAUUAUGGAAAUCAGUGUACAAACGAAGUUACACAUAAAUAAACAGUGUAUUUUGACUGACACAUAUGCAAGUUUACCACCAUUACAAAGGAAACAGAACCACAAGGCAGAUUUGAUUCCAAGACAGAAGACAGACACAAGGUUUUGCAUGUGUUUUAAAUGUAUUUAAAAAGAAAUGAGUGUCUGAGUUGGUGUAGACGUGAUGAGACGUUAUUUAGAGACAUUGUGCAGAGACAGACUGAGCUCAGAUGCUUCAGAGCAAAGAUGAAAUCACUCUUCUUUAUUUUUUUGCUCGUGGUUGGUUGUGGUUUGGCUGUGGGUCUGACAAGAGAAUAUAUUUUCUUUAAUGCUGAAUAUAAUUGGCAUGAAGCUGUGUCAUAUUGCAAACAUAACUACAGAGAUCUGGCCACCAUCACCUCUGCAGAGGAAAAUGAGCGAGUUUUUCAAUCAAAAGGCGGUAAUUAUUACAGUUGGAUCGGGCUGUCCAUGUUAUACUCAGGCACCUGGACAUGGUCUGAUAGAGAUCCCGCUAUUUUUCGGAAAUGGGUUUAUGGAUUACCUUAUUUUUCUAGUCAAAAUGAUGAAUUUUGUGCUUUCAUAUACGGUAAUAGUGGAACCUGGAGUAAUCGCCGGUGCCAGGACGGUACAAAUUUUGUUUGCUAUCGGUUCCUGAUCCUGGUGAAGGAGAAGAAGACCUGGGAAGAGGCUCUGGAGGUCUGCAGGACAAAUUACACUGGUUUGGCCACUGUGACCUCUGAGAUGAGCCUGAGGCAGCUGAAUCUAGAGUCAGUGGGGACGGAGACAGAGAGCGUGUGGACCGGUCUGCGCUUCAUGAAUGGACAAUGGUUCUGGGUGAACGGGGAGCCGCUGGGGAGCCUGGUCUCAAUGCCUUCAUGUCCAGCUCAGUCUUACCGCUGUGGAGCUCUCAACACCACAACAAACACCUUGCAGAACCUGAACUGUAAUGAGAGGCUGAACUUCAUCUGCUACUGGAAGUGAGUGAUUUUACACAAGUUCACACCUCCUUCAGGAAGAUUAUACUGUAUAUAUACUGUAUUAUACUGUACAUAUACUGUAUACUGCAUCACACUGUAUAAUCAUUUAUUUAAUUAUUUAUUAUUAUUUAUAACUAUUAUUCAUUACUUUUAUUGUUUUUAUUGUUAUUAUUAUUGAUGUUUAUUUAUUUAGCUUUCUUUGUUAAUAUUUAACUGAGUUUUAGGUUCUCAUAGAUGAACUGCAACUGAACACUUGAGGAGUUUAUUUGUAGGUGGAGGGUCAGAGUUUAUAAUAAUUUUGAAAUCUGGAUUGUGAUUGGUCAGAAAUGGUAGCAUCAUGGUUGUGGUGAAAAAUCUCUUAUAUGGUCAACAUUGUCAUUAAAUGUAAUUUUUCAAAAUAUUUUUUUAAUUAUGAAAUUGUAUGUAAUUAUAAAUGUUCUGAUUACUUUAUAGAUUGUAUUUCUGUCAUCCUUUUUUCUGCUGCUUGUAACGUAAAUUCAUUUUAAUUGAUUUAC